rnacentral:rRNA from 1 species
AACGAACGCUGGCGGCAUGCCUAACACAUGCAAGUCGAACGAGACCUUCGGGUCUAGUGGCGCACGGGUGCGUCACGCGUGGGAAUCUACCCUCAGGUUCGGAAUACCUCAGAGAAAUUUGAGCUAAUACAGGAUGAUGACGUAAGUCCAAAGAUUUAUCGCCUGAGGAUGAGCCCGCGUAGGAUUAGGUAGUUGGUGAGGUAAAGGCUCACCAAGCCGACGAUCCUUAGCUGGUCUGCGAGGAUGAUCAGCCACACUGGGACUGAGACACGGCCCAGACUCCUACGGGGGGCGGCAGUGGGUAAUAUUGGACAUAGGGCGAAAGCCUGAUCCAGCAUGGCCGCGGAAGUAUUAAAGGCCUUAGGGUUGUAAAGCUCUUUUACCGGGAUGAUAAUGACAGUACCGGGAGAAUAAGCGCCGGCUAACUCCGUG